rnacentral:rRNA from 1 species
CAGCAGCCACGGUAAUACGAAGGGUGCAAGCGUUAAUCGGAAUUACUGGGCGUAAAGCGUGCGUAGGCGGUUUGUUAAGUCUGUCGUGAAAUCCCCGGGCUCAACCUGGGAAUGGCAAUGGAUACUGGCAAGCUAGAGUGUGUCAGAGGAUGGUGGAAUUCCCGGUGUAGCGGUGAAAUGCGUAGAGAUCGGGAGGAACAUCAGUGGCGAAGGCGGCCAUCUGGGACAACACUGACGCUGAGGCACGAAAGCGUGGGGAGCAAACAGGAUUAGAUACCCGGGUAGUCCCUGUCUCUUAUAC